UCUCUGAUGGUCCAGUGGUUAGGACUCAGGACUUUCACUGUCAGGGCCCAGGUUCAACCCCUGAUUGGAGAA
rfam:TPA: Bos taurus chromosome 20, whole genome shotgun sequence.